CCGGACUUAAUUUCUUUUUUUUUGCAAAAAGAGUGUACCGCCCCCGCAAAUUUUUCCUUUUUAUGUCAAUAACGAAAUUCCAAAAUCUUAAACUGAUUGCCCUAGGUUAAGGCGUGGCACAUGCCCUCUAAAGUGGCUAAAACCCGUUUAUAUGGACUUUUCAAGAGACAAGGCACGAAAAUAUAAGUAAAAUGUUUCAUAGAUGUCUUUAGUAUAUUAUUAUAUUGAAAUUAACUUACGUUUAAUGAUUAAUAUUCUUUAUAAUCAUUUAAACUUAAGCGCAAAGGUCUGAUUGAUUAAUGCUACCGUAUUUUUUCCUAUACUCAGUUACUGUUUGCAUAAAAGUUUUAAAACAUAAGCCUUUAAAAAAAUCGCAAAAAGGCAACUCUGUAAACUUAUAUUUAAAUCGUAAAAUAAAAUGUUGGCAACAACGGAGGAAAGUCAACAUCUGGUCAAUACCGUUAGUUUUGAGCCACGUGGCAAUUAAAAGUGUGUAAAAAGUGAAGUGUAUUUAUUUUGAGCUUUGAAUCAGAGAAACAUUAUUGCUUUAAAGAGAAUUGAUAUUGAUUGUAUUUACAAAAUGGACACAAGGGCUAGUGAAAAAAUUUAUUUAUUAGAAUAUGACGAAAGCCAAAUUGUUGGAUCUAAGCUGCCUUCCAAUGGGCAAGUUUUGAAAGUGUUGUUUUAUAACAUGCGUAAAGUGAAAUUGGAUCUUCGUUCAAGUGCGUAUCUGGUUAUCAAAGAGGCCGAAAUUCUUUGGAAUAAAGCCCGUAUUCCAGUGCGCCAAAUUGAUAGAAGUGUUCAAAAAGUUGAAGCUUUAUAUAAAGAAUGGAAAAAUCUGCAAAAAACUUGUAAACGCAGCACACCACUUCAAAAAAUGCGAGAAGAUCAGUUUAUUAAAAAUAUGAAUAACUUAUUUGACAUUGCGCACGGAAAUGCGUUAGAUUUAAUUAAAAUAGAAGAAGAUAAAGAGUUUUUGAAGAAUCAACGUAAAGAAGGCAGACCUGGUGCAAUGGUGGGAUGCGAUCGUUCAUUAUUUGAAAAAGAAAAGCGAAGAAAUACUCGUAUUGAGAAAGAGGUUAUCCGAAAAGGAAAGCAGGAUGAAGAACAAUUCCAAGUAUUCCUAACAGCGAAUGAUUUGAGUGACAAUACUGAAGAACUAAUUGAUGUAUACGAUGACAAUACUGAUGAUAAUACUGAUCAAACUGCUAACUGUAGAUUUCAACAAAAAAACAGAAAACGAGGAAUAAAACAUUUUAUAACUUCAAAGCUUGUUGCGACCUUAGACAAGUGCAAAGUCAGUGAUAGGGACGCAGUACGUAUUCUGAUAGCUGCGGCUGAAGCAUUGGAACAUGAUAUCAGUACAUUGGUAAUCAGCAAGACAUCGAUUCGGCUUUGCCGUAAACAAAUUCGUUCGGAAACUGCUGCAAAACUGAUGACGGAUUUUAAAAACAGCAAUAUAGAUCAAAUUACGGUACAUUGGGAUGGGAAAAUUUUACCGUCAAUCACAGGAAACGCAAAAGUGGACAGAUUACCAGUUGUGAUAACAACAGAUGGCAUUGAACAUCUACUUGGAGUACCUGCCCUGUCAGCUGGUACUGGCAAAGAACAGACUUACGCCAUACUCGAACUAUUAAAGGAAUGGAAUCUAACAGAAAAGGUAGAAGCUUUAUGUUUUGAUACUACCGCGACAAAUACAGGUAGAUUACAAGGUACUUGCAUUUUAUUAGAACAACACCUCAAUAGAGAAUUGUUAUAUCUCCCUUGCCGUCAUCACAUAUAUGAGCUCUUGCUGAAAAGUGCUUUCGCGAAAUAUGAUUUAAAAUUAAGUGGUCCAUCAUUAGAUAUUUUCCAGCGUUUUAAAAAAAAUUGGCCCAAAAUCAAUCAGCAAAAAUUUGCAAGUGGAAUGGUGGAUAAAAAAAUAAAUCUUGCGCUAAACAAAGCUGAACAAGACCAAUUAGCUCAAUUUGCUCAUAACUAUAUCACUAAACAACAUCCCAGGGCAGACUACAAGGAGUUAUUGGAAUUGAGCCUUAUAUUUCUUGGUCGAAACACAGAGCCUGUAAGGUUUAAAUCACCUGGAGCGAUUCAUCAUGCCCGAUGGAUGGCUAAAGCGAUAUAUACAAUAAAGAUUUUUCUUUUCCGCCACCAAUUCUUAAUGUCGUCAGAUGAGGCAAACGCUAUACAAGAUAUUAGUGUGUUCAUUUUGAAAAUUUAUUUGAGACCGUGGAUUGAAGCGUCAAUUGCCGCGAAAGCACCUUUAAAUGAUUUAAAUUUUAUUAAAAAUAUUAUUAAAUUCAAUGAAUUGAAUGAAAUAAUAAGCAAUGAAGUAACGCUCAAGUUUUCGAAUCACUUGUUGUACCUGACACCAGAAGCAGCAGGUCUUUCAUUUUUUGAUAAUGCUGUAGACCUUGGAGAAAAGAGAAAAAUGGUUGAAAAUCUCAAAAAAGAACAAACUAAUGAGAAUAAAAGAAUAGUAACAAACAUGAAUGAAUUAAACCAAAACAAUAUUUCAGAUUUUGUUAACAAAAAAACAGUGAGCUUUUUCGAAAGAUUUAAUAUUCAAACUAACUUUCUAAAACUUGACCCAUCCAAGUGGCACAAUGACUCCGAAUUUCAAAAAGGAAUGAAUAUUGUGAAAAACUUACAUGUUGUUAAUGAUACCGCAGAGCGUUUUGUAAAACUAAUGGAAGAAUAUAAUGCAGCUCUAACAAAAAACGAAGAAGAGAAACAAUACAUCUUGCAAACAGUAACUGAAUAUAGGAAAAAAUACGCUAGCAUUAAUAAAUCAGACCUUUACGCUUAAGUUUAAAUGAUUAUAAAGAAUAUUAAUCAAUAAAAGUAAGUUAAUUUCAAUAUAAUAAUAUACUAAAGACAUCUAUGAAACAUUUUACUUAUAUUUUCGUGCCUUGUCUCUUGAAAAGUCCAUAUAAACCGGUUUUAGCCACUUUAGUGGGCAUGUGCCACGCCUUAACCUAGGGCAAUCAGUUUAAGAUUUUGGAAUUUCGUUAUUGGCAUAAAAAGGAAAAAUUUGCGGGGGCGGUACACUCUUUUUGCAAAAAAAAAAUUUUCCCAUACAAAAAAAGACCAGUCUAAUGUACAUAUAAUUUUUAGAUAGUUUCACAUGCAUUACAAAUAUUAUGUUUUAAUUUUCCUUUUCGGCAAAGGGUGUGUCCUUAUGAGUCAUGUCGAAUUGGAAUUUUUUUAGGUAAUACUCAGAAAUAAGGUUGGAUUUUUAUUUUAUAAUCAUUUGUCUGUGUAUUGCUGAUCGUGGUUAUAUAAAUGCGGGGUUUCUCUUUAUAAUAUAAAUAUCGCCUUUCAUACACCAUAUAAAAACAUAAAUAUAUUAUUAAAUAGAAAGUCGAUGUAUUGGCGCAUAUGAUUGAACAUUUGUAUGUAUGAUUAUUGUAUUUCUACUGGAAAAAACCCAACACAAUACAGAAGCGAUAAUGUCAACGAAAAGUUUCUAUGAAAUCUUAAAGUCCACACCAACGGCGAGCUUCGAAGAGUUGCGCCGUAAUUAUAAACAAUUGAUUCUACAAUGUCAUCCCGAUAAAUUACAACAUUUAGAUAACACAAAUACCACAACAACAAAAGCAUCAAGUACUAAUGGUGAUAAUGCCACAAUAAUAACUAAUAAUGCGGCGACCAUUACGCCUGCUACUGUUGACCUAAAUGCCGAAA